CGAGUUACCGCUCCUUAUAACCCUUUGUGAACAUACCCCAAACGUUGCCUCGGCGGGCAGCCGGAGCCCAGCUCCGGCGCCCGGAGCCGCCGUCUCGGCGUGCCCCACCCGCCGGCGGACCACUAAACUCUAUUUAGACGACGUCUCUUCUGAGUGGUACAAGCAAAUAAUCA
rnacentral:misc_RNA from 1 species